CUCUUCGGGGAUGAUUAAACCGGCGCACGGGUGAGUAACACGUGAGUGACCUGCCUUUUAGACUGGAACAACUUACCGAAAGGUGAGCUAAUGCCGGAUGAGUUAUAUAAGUGCAUGUUUAUAUAGGAAAAGUUGGGGAGACCUGACGCUGAAAGAUGGACUCGCGUCCCAUUAGCUAGUUGGUAGGGUAAUGGCCUACCAAGGCGACGAUGGGUAGCCGGCCUGAGAGGGUGGCCGGCCACACUGGGACUGAGACACGGCCCAGACUCCUACGAGAGGCAGCAGUGGGGAAUUUUGCGCAAUGCUCGUAAGAGUGACGCAGCGACGCCGCGUGAAUGACGAAGGCCUUCGGGUCGUAAAGUUCUUUCGACAGGGAAGAAAAUGCCUAUAAGUAACUGUGUAUGUAUUGACGGUACCUGUAUAAGCAGCCCCGGCUAACUCCGUGCCAGCAGCCGCGGUAAUACGGAGGGGGCGAGCGUUGUUCGGAGUGACUGGGCGUAAAGAGCACGUAGGCGGUGUUGUAAGUCAUUAGUCAAAGACUAGAGCUCAACUUUAGUAAGGCUAGUGAUACUAUAAUACUAGAGUAUCAGAGAGGAUUGCAGAAUUCCUGGUGUAGCGGUGAAAUGCGUAGAUAUCAGGAGGAAUACCGUUAGCGAAGGCGGCAAUCUGGCUGGAAACUGACGCUGAGGUGCGAAAGCGUGGGUAGCAAACAGGAUUAGAUACCCUGGUAGUCCACGCUGUAAACGAUGGAUGCUAGGUGUUGGGCUUUUAAGUUCAGUGCCGCAGCAAACGCGAUAAGCAUCCCGCCUGGGGAGUACGU
rnacentral:rRNA from 1 species